rnacentral:lncRNA from 1 species
GCCGAUGGCGUGGACGCAGUCGGGUCCCGCGGUCUGCGCGCGGGCAGGCGCGCGUGGGCGUGUCUCCCUGGCCCACGCGUGUCCCCGGCAUCAGUGUCUCGGCUCUGGUCCAGGACGAAGACUUCUGAAAGCGAGCCAAGAAGAAUCGCAGUUCUUAAUGGAGCCCCUGACUGCUGGGUAGAAGGUGGUGGUUCUGAAGACAGUGAGUGUACCUGGGGCAAAGUGAAGUGUCAGUAGUGCCGUCAUCCCUUCACUUCACCUGUAUCUCUCCACUUUACACUACAUGUGUGUCUUCUCCCACACAUGAAGCAAUGUGAAAUUGCAGCCAGUAAUGUCACAGGAUGUCUCUUGGCUUCAGCCAUUCAGAUGAGCGAUGUCAGCAAGCUUCGCCACUGUCAAAGUACCUCUUUAUAAGAAGACAGGAUCUUUUCGUGAAGAAUAUGAGACCUGAGGCUGGGGGAUGGCUGAGAAGGGAAACGUGCCUCUGCACAAGUGUGAGGACAGGAGUUUGUUCUUCCAGAUCCAUGCAGAAACCUUGAUGCUGAGUCGUGAAUACCUGCACUCCUACGGAAGAUGGGCGGCAGAGGCAGAAGUUCAUCUGGAAGCUUGAGAUCAGCCACCCAGACACUCAGAGCUGCAGACAAAAGAGAGGCCCUGCAGCAAAGGAGUGGAAGGUGAGAACCAACUCCAGAAAGUUACCCUCUGACCUUUACAAGUGUAUAUGUCCACAUACAUACAAUAAAGUCAAAUGCUCAAUU